rnacentral:rRNA from 1 species
UACGUAGGGACCGAGCGUUGUCCGGAAUCAUUGGGCGUAAGAGCGUGUAGGCGCCGAUCAAGUUCCGCGUGAAAUCUCACGGCUCAACCGUGAGCAGCCGUGGAAAACUGGUCGGCUAGAGUGCGGGAGAGGAGAGUGGAAUUCCUGGUGUAGCGGUGAAAUGCGCAGAUAUCGAGGAAGAACACCCGUGGCGAAGGCGGCUCUCUGGAACGCAACUGACGCUGAGACGCGAAAGCGUGGG